rnacentral:snRNA from 1 species
GGAUGUGAAGGCCAUCUGGCUGCAACAUUGUCACCCUGGUGAUCACCAGAGUUAAUCCGGCUGAUCUGGCUGGGUAGGCAAUGACUCCCUUCCUACCUCACUGCACCAUGUGGAUCCCUCUUGAAGCGGUGCAAUCAGUUGAAGACUACCUUCCUUGAUACAGGAGGACCAUUGUUAGGUCAAGAAUAUACAAGUAGCUGCAGUUCCUUGCUAGAGCCUCCCAACAAGCUCUCAAGAAGGUGAAAUGUAAAGAACGACUUGAAGGCCAUCAGGGAGUUAGUCAUAUGAAUAUCUGGGGAACU